UUCUGUAAGCCUGUGAAGGUGAGUUGAGAAGCUUGCUGGAGGUAUCAGAAGUGCGAAUGCUGACAUGAGUAACGACAAUGGGUGUGAAAAACACCCACGCCGAAAGACCAAGGGUUCCUGCGCAACGUUAAUCGACGCAGGGUUAGUCGGUUCCUAAGGCGAGGCUGAAAAGCGUAGUCGAUGGGAAACAGGUUAAUAUUCCUGUACUUCUGGUUACUGCGAUGGAGGGACGGAGAAGGCUAGGCCAGCUUGGCGUUGGUUGUCCAAGUUUAAGGUGGUAGGCUGAAAUCUUAGGUAAAUCCGGGGUUUCAAGGCCGAGAGCUGAUGACGAGUCGUCUUUUAGAUGACGAAGUGGUUGAUGCCAUGCUUCCAAGAAAAGCUUCUAAGCUUCAGGUAACCAGGAACCGUACCCCAAACCGACACAGGUGGUCGGGUAGAGAAUACCAAGGCGCUUGAGAGAACUCGGGUGAAGGAACUAGGCAAAAUGGCACCGUAACUUCGGGAGAAGGUGCGCCGGCUAGGGUGAAGGAUUUACUCCGUAAGCUCUGGCUGGUCGAAGAUACCAGGCCGCUGCGACUGUUUAUUAAAAACACAGCACUCUGCAAACACGAAAGUGGACGUAUAGGGUGUGACGCCUGCCCGGUGCCGGAAGGUUAAUUGAUGGGGUUAGCGCAAGCGAAGCUCUUGAUCGAAGCCCCGGUAAACGGCGGCCGUAACUAUAACGGUCCUAAGGUAGCGAAAUUCCUUGUCGGGUAAGUUCCGACCUGCACGAAUGGCGUAACGAUGGCGGCGCUGUCUCCACCCGAGACUCAGUGAAAUUGAAAUCGCUGUGAAGAUGCAGUGUAUCCGCGGCUAGACGGAAAGACCCCGUGAACCUUUACUGUAGCUUUGCACUGGACUUUGAGCCUGCUUGUGUAGGAUAGGUGGGAGGCUUUGAAGCGUGGACGCCAGUUCGCGUGGAGCCAUCCUUGAAAUACCACCCUGGCAUGCUU
rnacentral:rRNA from 1 species